ACAACGGCUCUUCUCAGAGCCACUCACGUUUUCACAGUGAGAGCUGU
rfam:Pelodiscus sinensis unplaced genomic scaffold scaffold49, whole genome shotgun sequence.